AGCUUUGCACAGUGGCGGUAUCGUAGCCAAUAAGGUUUAUCCAAGGCGUGAUUAUUGCUGAUUGAUA
rnacentral:snRNA from 1 species